GACGAACCGAGCGAACGUUGUUCGGAAUCACUGGGCUUAAAGGGCGCGUAGGCGUGUGCUCAAGUCCGUGGUGAAAUCCUCCGGCUCAACCGGAGAACUGCCUCGGAUACUGGGUGCCUCGAGGGUGGUAGGGGUAUGCGGAACUAUCGGUGGAGCGGUGAAAUGCGUUGAUAUCGAUAGGAACUCCGGUGGCGAAGGCGGCAUACUGGACCACCUCUGACGCUGAGGCGCGAAAGCCAGGGGAGCAAACGGG
rnacentral:rRNA from 1 species